rnacentral:rRNA from 1 species
GAUGGGGACACCAGACGGAAACGCCUGCUAAUACGGAAUACGAUCCGAAAGUCGCAUGACAUUGGAUGAAAAGGGUGGCCUAUCGAAGAAGCUAUCGCUGAAGAGGGGUUUGCGUCCGAUUAGGUAGUUGGUGAGGUAACGGCCCACCAAGCCGACGAUCGGUAGCCGGUCUGAGAGGAUGAACGGCCACACUGGAACUGAGACACGGUCCAGACUCCUACGGGAGACAGCAGUGGGGAAUCUUCCGCAAUGGACGAAAGUCUGACGGAGCAACGCCGCGUGAGUGAAGACGGCCUUCGGGUUGUAAAGCUCUGUGAUUCGGGACGAAAGGCCAUAUGUGAAUAAUAUAUGGAAAUGACGGUACCGAAAAAGCAAGCCACGGCUAACUACGUGCCAGCAGCCGCGGUAAUACGUAGGUGGCAAGCGUUGUCCGGAAUUAUUGGGCGUAAAGCGCGCGCAGGCGGUCACUUAAGUCCAUCUUAGAAGUGCGGGGCUUAACCCCGUGAUGGGAUGGAAACUGGGAGACUGGAGUAUCGGAGAGGAAAGUGGAAUUCCUAGUGUAGCGGUGAAAUGCGUAGAUAUUAGGAAGAACACCGGUGGGGAAGGCGACUUUCUGGACGAAAACUGACGCUGAGGCGCGAAAGCGUGGGGAGCAAACAGGAUUAGAUACCCUGGUAGUCCACGCCGUAAACGAUGGAUACUAGGUGUAGGAGGUAUCGACCCCUUCUGUGCCGGAGUUAACGCAAUAAGUAUCCCGCCUGGGAAGUACGAUCGCAAGAUUAAACUCAAAGGAAUGACGG